UAUGGCCAUAUCACAUUAAAACAUUGGUUCCUUUACAAUCACCAAAGUUAAGCAAUGUCAAGCCUGGUCAGUACCUAGAUGGGUAACCACUUGAGAAUACCAGGUGCUGUAAG